AAGUUACCUCCCUCCUGAUUAUACACACAUGUAUGGAAGACAAAAAUCAAAUUCUGUCACUGACUGUGAGAUUCACUAGAUCCAAGAACCUGGAAUCCUGCUGAGUCCUGGAGCUUGAGAGUCUAGCUACUCAAAAUAAAAUGAAAAUAGCCAAAGCAUGAGAAUUUUAUUCAAGGCAGCCAAAUGGAAUCCCAGGAUACCAUCCUUGCCAGAGACUUUAACCUUGAAUUGACUGCUCUCCAGCUCCUGUCAAAGGCCUGACUGACAGACACAAUAUCCUACAACUAAAGAGGCCGUGAUUUUCCCAAUGUACACUGCGAAAGAGACGGCAGAGGGAGGACUAGAACUAGACGACCAAAAUCUUGAAUGUCCCUCAAGAGCAUCGUAUGUAAG
rnacentral:lncRNA from 1 species